rnacentral:rRNA from 1 species
ACGGGUAGCCGGCCUGAGAGGGCGACCGGCCACACUGGGUACUGAGACACGGCCCNGACUCCUACGGGCAGGCANCAGUGGGGAAUAUUGCACAAUGGGCGAAAGCCUGAUGCAGCGACGCCGCGUGAGGGAUGACGGCCUUCNGGUUGUAAACCUCUUUCANCAGGGAAGAAGCGAAAGUGACGGUACCUGCNGAAGAAGCGCCGGCUAACUACGUGCCAGCAGCCGCGGUAAUACGUANGGCGCGAGCGUUGUCCGGAAUUAUUGGGCGUAAAGAGCUCGUAGGCGGCUUGUCACGUCGGUUGUGAAAGCCCGGGGCUUAACCCCGGGUCUGCAGUCGAUACGGGCNGGCUAGAGUUCGGUAGGGGAGAUCGGAAUUCCUGGUGUAGCGGUGAAAUGCGCAGAUAUCAGGAGGAACACCGGUGGCGAAGGCGGAUCUCUGGGCCGAUACUGACGCUGAUGAGCGAAAGCGUGGGNAGCGAACAGGAUUAGAUACCCUGGUAGUCCNCGCCGUANACGGUGGGCACUAGGUGUGGGCG